rnacentral:rRNA from 1 species
GAUGAACGCUGACAGAAUGCUUAACACAUGCAAGUCUACUUGAAUUUGGGUUUUUUAACUUAGAUUUGGGUGGCGGACGGGUGAGUAACGCGUAAAGAACUUGCCUCACAGCUAGGGACAACAUUUGGAAACGAAUGCUAAUACCUGAUAUUAUGAUUAUAAGGCAUCUUAGACUUAUGAAAGCUAUAUGCGCUGUGAGAGAGCUUUGCGUCCCAUUAGCUAGUUGGAGAGGUAACGGCUCACCAAGGCGAUGAUGGGUAGCCGGCCUGAGAGGGUGAACGGCCACAAGGGGACUGAGACACGGCCCUUACUCCUACGGGAGGAAGCAGUGGGGAAUAUUGGACAAUGGACCAAGAGUCUGAUCCAGCAAUUCUGUGUGCACGAUGACGUUUUUCGGAAUGUAAAGUGCUUUCAGUUGGGAAGAAAAAAAUGACGGUACCAACAGAAGAAGUGACGGCUAAAUACGUG